ACUACGGGAGGCAGCAGUGGGGAAUAUUGGGCAAUGGGCGCAAGCCUGACCCAGCAACGCCGCGUGAAGGAAGAAGGCUUUCGGGUUGUAAACUUCUUUUCUCAGGGACGAAGCAAGUGACGGUACCUGAGGAAUAAGCCACGGCUAACUACGUGCCAGCAGCCGCGGUAAUACGUAGGUGGCAAGCGUUAUCCGGAUUUACUGGGUGUAAAGGGCGUGUAGGCGGGAAAGCAAGUCAGAUGUGAAAACCAUGGGCUCAACCUGUGGCCUGCAUUUGAAACUGUUUUUCUUGAGUACUGGAGAGGCAGCCGGAAUUCCUGGUGUAGCGGUGAAAUGCGUAGAUAUUAGGAGGAACACCAGUGGCGAAGGCGGUCUGCUGGACAGCAACUGACGCUGAGGCGCGAAAGCGUGGGGAGCAAACAGGAUUAGAUACCCUUGUAGUC
rnacentral:rRNA from 1 species